GGAAAGGCGAAAAGAACCCCGGCGAGGGGAGUGAAAAAGAACCUGAAACCGUGUACGUACAAGCAGUGGGAGCACGCUUAGGCGUGUGACUGCGUACCUUUUGUAUAAUGGGUCAGCGACUUAUAUUCUGUAGCAAGGUUAACCGAAUAGGGGAGCCGAAGGGAAACCGAGUCUUAACUGGGCGUUAAGUUGCAGGGUAUAGACCCGAAACCCGGUGAUCUAGCCAUGGGCAGGUUGAAGGUUGGGUAACACUAACUGGAGGACCGAACCGACUAAUGUUGAAAAAUUAGCGGAUGACUUGUGGCUGGGGGUGAAAGGCCAAUCAAACCGGGAGAUAGCUGGUUCUCCCCGAAAGCUAUUUAGGUAGCGCCUCGUGAAUUCAUCUCCGGGGGUAGAGCACUGUUUCGGCAAGGGGGUCAUCCCGACUUACCAACCCGAUGCAAACUGCGAAUACCGGAGAAUGUUAUCACGGGAGACACACGGCGGGUGCUAACGUCCGUCGUGAAGAGGGAAACAACCCAGACCGCCAGCUAAGGUCCCAAAGUCAUGGUUAAGUGGGAAACGAUGUGGGAAGGCCCAGACAGCCAGGAUGUUGGCUUAGAAGCAGCCAUCAUUUAAAGAAAGCGUAAUAGCUCACUGGUCGAGUCGGCCUGCGCGGAAGAUGUAACGGGGCUAAACCAUGCACCGAAGCUGCGGCAGCGACGCUUAUGCGUUGUUGGGUAGGGGAGCGUUCUGUAAGCCUGUGAAGGUGUGCUGUGAGGCAUGCUGGAGGUAUCAGAAGUGCGAAUGCUGACAUAAGUAACGAUAAAGCGGGUGAAAAGCCCGCUCGCCGGAAGACCAAGGGUUCCUGUCCAACGUUAAUCGGGGCAGGGUGAGUCGACCCCUAAGGCGAGGCCGAAAGGCGUAGUCGAUGGGAAACAGGUUAAUAUUCCUGUACUUGGUGUUACUGCGAAGGGGGGACGGAGAAGGCUAUGUUGGCCGGGCGACGGUUGUCCCGGUUUAAGCGUGUAGGCUGGUUUUCCAGGCAAAUCCGGAAAAUCAAGGCUGAGGCGUGAUGA
rnacentral:rRNA from 1 species